UACCAGCACCCCGAGUGGUCGGGACGUUUAUUGGGCCUAAAGCAUCCGUAGCCGGUUCUACGAGUCUUCCGUUAAAUCCAACUGCUUAACAGGUGGGCUGCGGAAGAUACUAUAGAGCUAGGAGGCGGGAGAGGCAAGCGGUACUCGAUGGGUAGGGGUAAAAUCCGUUGAUCCAUUGAAGACCACCAGUGGCGAAGGCGGCUUGCCAGAACGCGCGCGACGGUGAGGGAUGAAAGCUGGGGGAGCAAAGCCAGG
rnacentral:rRNA from 1 species